UACGGGGGGGGCAAGCGUUGUUCGGAAUUACUGGGCGUAAAGGGCUCGUAGGCGGCCAACUAAGUCAGACGUGAAAUCCCUCGGCUCAACCGUGGAACUGCUGGGUAUACUGGGUGCCUUGGGUCAUCUAGGGGCUGCCGGAACAAAUGGUGGAGCGGUGAAAUGCGUAGAUAUCAUUUGGAACGCCAACGGCGAAAGCAGGCAGCUGGGGAUGCACCGACGCUGAGACGCGAAAGCCAGGGGAGCGAACGGG
rnacentral:rRNA from 1 species